CCUACGGGAGGCAGCAGUGAGGAAUAUUGGACAAUGGGCGCAAGCCUGAUCCAGCCAUGCCGCGUGCAGGAAGACGGUCCUAUGGAUUGUAAACUGCUUUUAUACAGGAAGAAACACCUCUACGUGUAGAGACUUGACGGUACUGUAUGAAUAAGCAUCGGCUAACUCCGUGCCAGCAGCCGCGGUAAUACGGAGGAUGCAAGCGUUAUCCGGAAUCAUUGGGUUUAAAGGGUCCGUAGGCGGUUUAAUAAGUCAGUGGUGAAAGCCCAUCGCUCAACGAUGGAACGGCCAUUGAUACUGUUAAACUUGAAUUAUUAGGAAGUAACUAGAAUAUGUAGUGUAGCGGUGAAAUGCUUAGAGAUUACAUGGAAUACCAAUUGCGAAGGCAGGUUACUACUAAUAUAUUGACGCUGAUGGACGAAAGCGUGGGGAGCGAACAGGAUUAGAUACCCUGGUAGUCCACGCCGUAAACGAUGGAUACUAGCUGUUCGGAGCAAUCUGAGUGGCUAAGCGAAAGUGAUAAGUAUCCCACCUGGGGAGUACGUUCGCAAGAAUGAAACUCAAAAGGAAUUAGG
rnacentral:rRNA from 1 species